UACGUAGGGUGCGAGCGUUGUCCGGAAUUAUUGGGCGUAAAGGGCUCGUAGGCGGUUUGUCGCGUCGGGAGUGAAAACCCAGGGCUUAACUCUGGGCUUGCUUUCGAUACGGGCAGACUAGAGGUAUGCAGGGGAGAACGGAAUUCCGUGGUGUAGCGGUGAAAUGCGGCAGAUAUCAGAGGAACACCGGUGGCGAAGGGCGGUUCUCUGGGC
rnacentral:rRNA from 1 species